GGGGCGGGGCUAAGCAUUUUAGGGAACGGGAGGCUGUCGGAGUUUGGGGUCGCCCCCUCCGGGGGUUCUGCUGUUUAGCUUGAACGCUAAGCUAUAUACUAUCGGAGAGGGAGUGGGUGGCGCCCCCGAGGGCCAAAGACGGCCCAGAACGAGGCGGAGGGGCUGCGCCUGGCUUCCAGGAGCCAGGAACACUGGGAGGACGUGGAAGACCGGGAAGCGAGAGAAAAUAAGCCCAACCGCCAAAUGUCCUUAUCUCUCCCCGGACGGGCGAGACUGCCACGAUCCGGCCAAACCUCCCUCCUUCGGACAAGCCCAAGGAAGGAGUUGGGCGAUAGCUGCAGAGGAGCCGCGAAUUCAGGGAGGAGCUGCUCCCCCCUCCCCUCCCCCAUCUGCCGGGUUUCAAUUGGACGAUCCCCCCCCUCCCCCCCCGAACAUUUCUGGGGCCAGUCCGAGACUUCAGCUGUGACAGAACUGGAAGGCGAGGCAAACAGCCAGUUCGCUAGUCUUGCUCUAAGCCCAGCCCCGCCCCACUCCCGCUGGAGAGCCGGUUCCCUUUUAUUUUAGAGAGAACACUGCACUACAAGGUUCAAACACCUCCAGCGGCGCCCCGGGGUGGUAAAUGGUGACACUGAAGUCUGCAAGACCUGGGUUCAAGUCAAGCCUCAGUUCAGAAGACUAAUUUCUAGAGAAGGCGCCGGGCUAUACAGUAGAGAAAUGCCUACACAGGACCAAACGCAUUAAAGCAUGCUUCCCUCAGGCCUGUCUGCCUUGCAUGGUCCAUAUUUUUAUCUUGGCACCACUCUCAGGGCUUCACUCCUGGCGGGGCUCUGGCAGCAUCUCUCUGGAAGGCAGCAUCCUUCCCCAACCAGGAAAAGCCCUACUGUGUGCUGGCAGCUUCCCCUUCAGAGCCUCCACAAACCAACCUCCCCUAAAUGAUGAGCCAUUAUACUCAGAGCACACACUGGAAGCUGAGGCAGAAGACGGGCACAUCUUUAAAUGUAGCCAUGCAAUGGCGGCUCGUCCAAUGGGAGCUCCAUCCCGAGUCAGCAGUCCACCCUGGGGACCCAGAAAGAAAGAAGGGCAAGUGGAGGCUGUUACCUUGAAAAGAAACGCUGAACUACCAAGGCAGUCAGACAGACGGAAGUCCUCAACCAGGAAUAGGCGUAGGAGAGGGUCCAUUGUUUGGGCCAUCGCUCAGUCCAGUGCCACACACCACCCAGGGCCCGCACCCUGGGGAUUUGGGAACCCUAGCUCAAUAUGACGUUCCUGAUUGGCGCUAUGAAAAGGCCUCCUUGUCCAGGGUGCAUCAUGUCAUCCCUCCUAAAUCAUGCAGUGACUGCUUGGAGCUGGGGACUCCCUCUAGCCAAGGAAGAGCCACCUGUUUCUUUACUUCCUCAGUGCCUGCAAGAGCUGGGCUUUUAGCUGGGUGAUUAUUUCCACCUAGUCAGACUUGAACUCCCUCAAUAACGUGGUGAGCCUUUAGAUAUCCAGCUACGUUCACCAUUCAAGACCUUCUGAAUUUGGAUGGCUUUGUUGUACCAUCGCUGAGCCCAUGUUCAUCGACAUGCGCUCAUUUUUCUGAGCUACAAUCACAUUUUAGCCCACAAGCUCUUAACAAAACAAUCUUUCUUUGUCCGAGUUUACAGUAUGUUUCAGAGCAGUCGCCAAAACAGCAUUUUAUUGGGUUAAAUCAAAAUGUUAAAAGCUGUAACAAUGGAAAGCGCAGGUUUAGUAACACACUAAGUAAUGACAGUAACAAAUACCGGAGGAGCACAUUAGCUGCGCCAGUUUUGAACCCACCUCCUCUUCCGUACCACACUUCCUGGAGCAAAAGGGCCAGAAGUUACUGACAAUCACACACAACCCAGGAUUACAAUGUCGAGGGGGUUUUUUGGGCCACGAGGGGCAAUUCUUUUGUGCGUAGCUCCUGUCUGCUGGGCUCACCUGAUGCGGUGAUGAAUCAUUUUAAGAACAAAAGUAUCAUAAGCAUUCCUCGAGGCGUCCUGAGAAAGUACAAUGGACCAGGACUAAAAGGGUCCUAUACAACAGUCUCUCCAUGCAGAGCAACGUUUUCAUCGUUUCACCAUCCUUGCUGGCCUAUCCAGGCUUGUAAAAAAGGCUUUUGUUCUUCACAAAGCUCGGAUGACCUGACAGUGAGAGUGCAAGAUGUGAGCACGGACCAAUCACGCAAUCCUCCAUGACAGGCUCGGCACACAUCAGCCUACCUUGGUGCGUCGCCCAGGCUACGCUGGUUUUCUAUUUCCCCUAAAAGGCCGGCAACUCUUCCAAAACUUGACUGAUCGAGUUGACAAUCUACACCCUGAAAGCUGCUUCCUGUGUCUGGGCAGGCUUUGAACAAGAGCCGUUUUCACGCCUUCAAAUACUAUUUUAUUGCGUGUCGACUUCAAUCAGGCAGUGGACGGAAUUUGGCUAUGGAGUCAAAUCAUAGUUUGCUGACUCCUCGCUCAAGAUGAAGGCCUUUAUAAAGGGACGGAUGCUGGAGAGUCCAUGACAAGCAUGGAGGUGGGUCUCCGAUACCAUCCUGGACUGUGCAUGAGGCCACGUGGCCCCCUAACAAAGGACGGGACAGUCACUAUGCCAAAUGGAGUGUCCUCUUAAUUCACACACAAGACUGUGGGUCAGGGUAAGAGAAUCCCCAGCUUCAUCAGCGUGCCUCUGCCCUGAUGCCACCUUCGGGGGAACUCCAAUAUCGAGUGACGGGGAGUAAAAACGUUUGUGCCCGACGCCUAUUUGCUCGCUUGAGUGGGUGGCCAUUCCAAUUUGAAACAGGAGGAGCUCCUUCUGCACGUGCGUCUUGCAAAGAUCUCUGGGUCCAACUGAUGAUCUCAUGCAUCAUUUUAAGAACCGAAACUGAAGAAAAGUCCAUUUGUUCUAGAGGCACACGGUGACUCCAAAAUGACUUACCCGAUAAGGACAGACUGCCAUUGGGCACACUCCUGAUUGGAUGUCUUGUUAAAAAUGCCUCCCAUGGUACAGAUGAUGGAGCCUUGAAGUCUGCUGCCUCCAAGUUCCAUACACCGUGGGGAGAUCACACAGGUGAACUGGUGGGCCUUCUUUGCCCUAAAAUAGUCUGGACGAUUCCUUCCCACAUUUUUGUCUUUCAGUCAUUUCAGUCGUGUCUGACUCUUCAUGACCCAAUUUGAGGUUUUCUUGACAAAAAUGUUGGAGUAGUUUGCCAUUUCCUUCUGUUCAUUUUGUGACUUGCCCAGGGUCACACAGUUAAUAAAUGUUUGAAGCCAAAUUUGAAUUCAUGAAGAUGGGCCUUCCUGACCCCUGGCUUGGCAUGUAUUCAGUGUCCCUUCCCAUACAGGCCAUUGUCUCCCAGUCCCUUGACUUAUUCUUUCCUGCCUUUUGGGAAAAGAGGCAAAACCAUUCUAUCUAGUGCUGGAAAAUAGUAGCAGAUAACCAAAAAGGACAGUCUCUGCCUUCAAAGACUUGACAUUCUAAUGGGUCAGGUAGUACCUUAAAGGAAGCUGAAAAUGGGGAUCAUUAUUCCCUGGUCAAGAUGGAGAUGUACAGAUGAAUGUGGCAGCCUACUGAAAAAUGAAAGAAUUGGCUGGCUUGGUUGAUCUCCUUAAAUUGAGUUUCUGAAAGGAAUUCUUCAUCUUCCAAUCAUCUCCAUGGCACAGGAUAUUUCCAAGGUGUGAGUUUGUGAGUUUCAGGGCUGCUGUUGUGAAUUUUAGAUUGACUCCACCCUGCUUAGUCUUUAGAAUUCUAGCAACCAGCAAUGUCUACACCCCCACUUAAGGAUUGAGUGUGGAGGAGGAAGGUCUAUGACCCACAUGUGCUAGCAAGUGACAAAUCAGAAACAACUGGCUGACCCCUUGGGCCACUCAAAGCCAAGUUUAAGCCACCAUUGGUGCAUGUGAGACACAGGAAGUGACGUAAAUAAUUGCCUUUAUAUUUCGUGUCAUUUCCUGUGAGAGGGACUUGGCGGUGGAACGUGACAGUGGAGGAACUCGAGUGUGAGACCUCAGGCUGCUUCCCUUAGACUGCCACAUGUUGAGUGUAAGGUUGACUCCCCUUUCCUUGGCUUUUCUGGAGGCACCAGCCUCUGGAAAGGCCCAUCUCUUGGGACUCUCUUUCCCUUGGCUUUCUGGAGGUGCCAGCCUCCGAGGAGGCCCCUCAUCUUGGAGGAGGACUCAUGGCUGGAAGCUGUGCUAGAUUUAAUCCUCUGCCCUCCCCUUGGCUGGGGCAUCUGAACUCCUGCCUGGUAUCUCUCUUUUUCCUCUCUUUCUUUCUUCCUUAAUAUCUUCACUCUGUUGUAAAUAAACCACCAUAAAAUUCCA